CGCGGCCUAUCAGCUUGUUGGUGGGGUAACGGCCUACCAAGGCAUCGACGGGUAGCUGGUCUGAGAGGAUGAUCAGCCACACUGGGACUGAGACACGGCCCAGACUCCUACGGGAGGCAGCAGUGGGGAAUCUUGCGCAAUGGGCGAAAGCCUGACGCAGCAACGCCGCGUGCGGGAAGAAGGCCUUAGGGUUGUAAACCGCUUUCAGUAGGAACGAAAAUGACGGUACCUGCAGAAGAAGGUGCGGCCAACUACGUGCCAGCAGCCGCGGUGACACGUAGGCACCAAGCGUUGUCCGGAUUUAUUGGGCGUAAAGAGCUCGUAGGCGGUUCAGUAAGUCGGGUGUGAAAACUCUGGGCUUAACCCAGAGCCGCCACUCGAUACUGCUGUGACUUGAGUUCGGUAGGGGAGCAGGGAAUUCCUAGUGUAGCGGUGAAAUGCGCAGAUAUUAGGAGGAACACCGGUGGCGAAGGCGCUGCUCUGGGCCGAUACUGACGCUGAGGAGCGAAGGCGUGGGUAGCAAACAGGAUUAGAUACCCUGGUAGUCCACGCCGUAAACGUUGGGCACUAGGUGUGGGUUCCAACCAACGGAAUCCGCGCCGUCGCUAACGCAUUAAGUGCCCCGCCUGGGGAGUACGG
rnacentral:rRNA from 1 species